AUCGAUAUAAAACCUGCUUUUUCACUCCAUUUGAUAAAAACGUGAUCUAAGUGUGUUACAGAAUGUUGAAGGAAGUGUUUCUAGUAUCUACCUUGGUGUUGGUUGUGCUCGCGUCUUGUAUAAACGCCGAUUGGUGCUCAAGUCGAGUGAACGGCUGCAACAUUCCGGGUUAUAUGCCUCCCGCCUACAAAGGACUCUUCACGGGUGCAUGCAACCACCAUGACGUCUGCUACUUUUGUGGUCGGAAUAGGAAUGUAGGUCGAAGCACGUGCGACUAUUGGUUUUACUACAACAUGUGGAGACGAUGCAGGUGGUGGCACUUUGGGUGUAGAUACGCAGCCUACCUUUACUACUACGCGGCGAGAAUCGGCGGAAGCAGUCACUACAACAGCGUGUCUCCAUCUUGGUGCUCGCAAAGUUGGGUACCCGGAUGUAUGUAUUAAACAGGAAGUAUCAUCUCAGUCACUUAACAUAAAAAAAAAGGAGGAAAAUAUGAAUAACAGAUUCUGAAAAUGGACAGAUCCGAUAUUUUGAAAACUAGAAAAGCGUGUUAAAAGAAACAUUAUUGAAGACCGAAGAAACAUAUGUACAAUAUUAGCGGAAUCGGAACUUCAAGAUAUGUAGAUAUUAGUUUCGUGUGUGUAUUUAUGUUUUGUGUUUGAUAUAAUGAACUCAUUGUACAUUUUUAAAAACAUUUGAUAGAAUUUGUAUAAGUUUAACAUCAUUCUUUUUUAAUCACAUUAAAAUAGUGCAUUGUA
rnacentral:misc_RNA from 1 species